UCAUUGCAUUUAUUGACUCCCCCUUUUUGGGCAGUCCCUUGCUAUGAUGGACCCUAUAUUAUCCACCUAUAUUAAUUACACCUUCCUGGUCAUGAUUACCUUGGGAUGUCCACACCCUCCAUCUGUCUCACCAUCCCCGCAAUUUAGUGAACCAACAUAUGGUUUGGCAUUCAUACCACCAUCAUUUAACUAUUUGAGUUUUCCGCAAUAUCCCCCUUGUCCGUCGCGGGGGGGUUACCCCACCUGGGUUGCCUGAUACCACACUUCACCACCUAAUUAUGGAUUGGUUCUCUUGAGAAAGCGGUUUCACCGCGAAACUAGUCGAGGCAUAGACCAGUCUAUAUGUUUGCAACAACAAAAUUGCCCGGGGGUACUCCCUGAGGUCCUGUCUUUUCAAUUUUACCAUGUAUUCUUUGUUCAACAAUUGUAUGUAAUAAAAUAUAUUUUUAUAUUA